rnacentral:miRNA from 1 species
CGAGGCUUAAUUGAACCAAAAAGC